rnacentral:rRNA from 1 species
UAUGUGAUCGUCUCUCGCAUAUCAAUAAGCGGAGGAAAAGAAACUAACAAGGAUUCCCCUAGUAACGGCAAGUGAAGCGGGAAGAGCUCAAAUUUGAAAUCUUAAAGGGUUUCCCUUUACGAAUUGUAGUUUAAAGAAGUGUUUUCUGUUGAGGUUUUCGGUAAAAGUUCUUUGGAAUAGGACAUCAUAGAGGGUGAGAAUCCCGUAUUUGACCUUUACUUUCAACUUUGUGAUACACUUUCAAAGAGUCGGAUUGUUUGGGAAUGCAGUCCAAAAUGGGUGGUAAAUUUCAUCUAAAGCUAAAUAUUGGCGAGAGACCGAUAGCGAACAAGUACCGUGAGGGAAAGAUGAAAAGAACUUUGAAAAGAGAGUUAAACAGUACGUGAAAUUGUCAAAAGGGAAGCGUUUGACACCAGUGUUGUUUUUCUGAAAAUCAAUUAAAGAACUGUUUAUGCUAAGUUGUUUAGACUUUAUCAGCUAACUGUUUAGUUUUGAGCUUUUCUUUAAUGCACUUUUCAGUUAACAAGUCAACAUCAAUUUCUUUUGCUGUAAAAAAGCUUGAGGAAGGUGGCUUGAGAUUCGUCUUAAGUGUUUAUAGCCUCUUGCCUAUGCAGUCGGAGAGAUUGAGGUCUGCAGCGUAGAUCCUUCGGGGCUAAAUGCAUUUGUGCUAAGUUAUAGCAUUUUAUAGACAACUUGUUGACUAUGAUUUGUCUUGUAGCUUACUCGCUUAUGUUAUUUUACCUACGCUUAGGAUGUUGAUCUACAGAGCGAGAG